rnacentral:rRNA from 1 species
GACGAACGCUGGCGGCGUGCCUAAUACAUGCAAGUAGAACGCUGAAGGAGGAGCUUGCUUCUCUGGAUGAGUUGCGAACGGGUGAGUAACGCGUAGGUAACCUGCCCGGUAGCGGGGGAUAACUAUUGGAAACGAUAGCUAAUACCGCAUAAGAGUAGAUGUCGCAUGACAUUUGCUUAAAAGGUGCAAUUGCAUCACUACCAGAUGGACCUGCGUUGUAUUAGCUAGUUGGUGAGGUAACGGCUCACCAAGGCAACGAUACAUAGCCGACCUGAGAGGGUGAUCGGCCACACUGGGACUGAGACACGGCCCAGACUCCUACGGGAGGCAGCAGUAGGGAAUCUUCGGCAAUGGACGGAAGUCUGACCGAGCAACGCCGCGUGAGUGAAGAAGGUUUUCGGAUCGUAAAGCUCUGUUGUAAGAGAAGAACGAGUGUGAGAGUGGAAAGUUCACACUGUGACGGUAUCUUACCAGAAAGGGACGGCUGACUACGUG